UUUGUCGAUCUCUUCAUCUCCAACAAUCUCUCUCUCGUAAGGCGACACGAGCUCUUGAUCUCGGUGGUGCGACGACGACAGGGUCAAGAUCUAGGCUAAUCCGGCCAAAGUCUCUUCUUCUUCGGUCACUGGAUUCCUUCAACCUUCUGCUCCGCCUAGAGUUUACAAUCCCCGCGCUCCUCGUUGCGCCCAUGGAUAUCAAACCGUUCCAGGCAUAGCUUCUCUUUACUGAGUUUGUUGUGCUGAUUCAGUUUUUACAGAUUUCAAUUUUAGUGAAAUUGAUGACGAUCAUGAAUCCUUUUCGUCGAAAUUUUUCAAUUGUGAGUUUGUGUUGUGAUAAGUUGAUCAUAAGAUCGUGUUUUCUUUUGCAAUAGAAACCAGUUUAGGGUUUGUGUGAUCAACUAUUUGAGUGAUAUCGAUUUUUGACUAUGCUUAGGCAAAUGGGUUGUUGAAGCAGAUUGAAAGUUCUGAUUUUGAGUUGGUUUUGGAAUUAUGUGAUUGGUUUUGAUAAACUUGUCUUGCUUGGAAGAGAUUGAUGAGGGAAGUACUUCAAGAGGUUGCCGUAAGACCCACCUGCUGGAAUUAGCGGUGCUCCUCAAGACAACAACAUCAUGCUCUGUAAUGCUGUUAUAUUCGGCCAUUGCUCUGUGAUCCUAAUCCGAGUUCUCCUGCAAACUCGGAAGCUGCACGAAUGUUCAGCGAAAGCAAACGCGAGUACAACAGAUGAGUAUGCGAGUCUUGUGUUUGAUUCCACCAACACUUCUCCCUCUCCGUUUUUCUUUCAUCUUAUUGUGUUUUCAAAGUUUGUGAUUUGUUUCUCUUAUUGUUUCUGUGUUUCCAUGUAUUAUCUUAACCAUAUUCAUCUUUAUAAUGAUCAUUUGUAGAUUAAAAACA